UACGUAGGGCGCAAGCGUUGUCCGGAAUUAUUGGGCGUAAAGAGCUCGUAGGUGGUUUGGUAAGUCGGAUGUGAAAUCUCCAGGCUCAACCUGGAGGGGUCAUUCGAUACUGCCAUGACUAGAGGUCGGUAGGGGAGUGUGGAAUUCCUGGUGGAGCGGUGAAAUGCGCAGAUAUCAGGAGGAACACCCGUAGCGAAGGCGGCACUCUGGGCCGAUUCUGACACUGAGGAGCGAAAGCGUGGGGAGCGAACAGG
rnacentral:rRNA from 1 species